rnacentral:pre_miRNA from 1 species
AGUUGAUUUUCUGGGUCAUAUGGUCUAGUCUCUAUUUAACCUUUUAGAUAACUGUUAAACUGUUUUCCAAACUGGCUGCAUCAUUUUACAUUUCCACUGGCAAU